rnacentral:lncRNA from 1 species
CGUGGCCCUGCUGCCUGCACCAGGGGGGUUCACCACCUCCCCCCUAAAGAGACCUUAAGACAUUUUCCAUUUUCCCACCAGGAGACGUUCCUCAUCCGAGGAGUCACACCCCCCUCUAAACUUGUCAUCUUAACGAGUUUUGACCUGAGAUUUUGCACAGAUGAUGUAAGAAAUAUAACAAUGUGGGAAACCAAAUUUUAUAAUUUUUGGAAUUUUAUUUUAUUUAAUACGAUUUUUUUAAUGAAAAAACUUCAAAAAAUCGUAAUAAAAAAAAUACAAGUCCAAACUUUGUCAAACUUGGUAUGAGGGUACCUUAUGAUAUCCCUGAGAUAUAAUGGCAAGCACUUUUGAAUUUGCUCGAGUAGAUUUUAAAAUUUAUCGAGGGUCCAUAUUUUGGUGUGCCAAAAUCGCACACUGGUGCGCAUUUUCUCGCAUUUUUGCGCACGGGUGUGGGUGCGCAUUUUCGAGCAGCGGGUGUGCCCCUGGUGCGCAUUUUCGCGCAUUUUUGCGCACGGUGUGCCCCCAGUGCGCAUUUUCUCGCA